rnacentral:rRNA from 1 species
UAAAGUAAGAAAGAGCGUAUGGCGGAUGCCUAGGCACAGAGAGGCGAAGAAGGACGCAGCAAACAGCGAAAUGCGACGGUUAGCAGUAAGCAUGCAACGAUCCGUCGAUGUCCGAAUGGGGGAACCCACCUGGAGUAGAGACCAGGUAUCCUGAAGUGAAUAAAUAGCUUCAGAGAGGCGAGACUCAGGGAACUGAAACAUCUAAGUACCUGAAGGAAGAGAAAAUAAACGAAUGAUUCCCUAAGUAGCGGCGAGCGAAAGGGGAAGAGCCCAAACCGAUCUUAGGAUCGGGGUUGUAGGACUGUCGGCAAAGAGCAAGAAAUCAUUAUAGGCGAACGGAAUGGGAAGUCCGGCGAAACAGGGUGACAGCCCCGUAGCCGAAAUAGUGAAGAAGCACGAGACAGCACCUGAGUACGGCGGGACACGAGGAAUCCUGUCGGAAUCCACCAGGACCAUCUGGUAAGGCUAAAUACUCCUCUGUGACCGAUAGUGAACCAGUACCGUGAGGGAAAGGUGAAAAGAACCCCGGGAGGGGAGUGAAAUAGAACCUGAAACCAUAUGCUUACAAGAAGUUAGAGCCCGUUAAAGGGUGAUAGCGUGCCUUUUGUAGAAUGAACCGGCGAGUUACGAUAUGGAGCGAGGUUAAGCAGGAUAUGCGGAGCCGAAGCGAAAGCGAGUCUUAACAGGGCGAAAGUUGCAUGUCGUAGACCCGAAACCGAGUGAUCUAGCCAUGACCAGGUUGAAGUUGGGGUAAAACCCGAUGGAGGACCGAACCGACCCCCGUUGAAACGUUGGCGGAUGAGUUGUGGCUAGGGGUGAAAUUCCAAUCGAACUCGGAGAUAGCUGGUUCUCCCCGAAAUAGCUUUAGGGCUAGCGUUGAUUUAGAUUACCGGAGGUAAAGCACUGAAUGGGCUAGGGGGCGAUAAGCUUACUGAACCCUAUCAAACUCUGAAUGCCGGCUAAUUGAUGAUCAGCAGUCAGACAGUGUGAGAUAAGUUUCAUUGUCAAAAGGGAAACAGCCCAGACCUACAGCUAAGGUCCCAAAUGUAUGCUAAGUGGAAAACGAUGUGGAGUUGCGAAAACAACCAGGAUGUUGGCUUAGAAGCAGCCACUCAUUAAAAGAGUGCGUAAUAGCUCACUGGUCGAGUGACUCUGCGCGGAAAAUAUAACGGGGCUAAGUAUGCAACCGAAGCUUAGGAUGUCCGCAAGGGCGUGGUAGGGGAGCGUCGUGUACGGGGUGAAGUCGCAGCGGAAGCAGCGGUGGACUGUAUUCGAGUGAGAAUGCCGGAAUGAGUAGCGAGAAUUAUGUGGGAAUCAUAAUGGCCGAAAAUCUCAGGUUUCUUGGGGAAGGUUCGUCCGCCCAAGGUAAGUCGGGAGCUAAGGCGAGGCCGAGAGGCGUAGUCGAUGCACACACGGUUGAAAUUCCGUGACCACCGAAAGAUUUAAGCGAGCUGACACAUAGAGAUAACCGGACCCCGGCGUUGGUCGACCGGGGCGAAAGGGACCGAACAUCAGUAGGGAAGCCGGUGAUGCUCUGUGGCGAGAAAAGGCUCGAGGUACAUCUGAGGUGCCCGUACCGCAAACCGACACAGGUAGAUGAGGAGAGAAUCCUAAGGCCAGCGGGAGAAGGGUUGUUAAGGAACUCGGCAAAUUGACCCCGUAACUUCGGGAAAAGGGGAGCCUACUACGGUAGGCCGCAGAGAAUAGGCCCAAGCGACUGUUUACCAAAAACACAGGUCUCUGCUAAAUCGAAAGAUGACGUAUAGGGGCUGACGCCUGCCCGGUGCCGGAAGGUUAAGAGGAGGGCUUAGCGCAAGCGAAGGUCUGAAUUGAAGCCCCGGUAAACGGCGGCCGUAACUAUAACGGUCCUAAGGUAGCGAAAUUCCUUGUCAGGUAAG